AUUAUCAUCUAUUGUGCUAACAAGACCUGUCGGCUCUGAAUAUGCUGUGAAUAGCCCAAAACAUCCGGGUUGACGUUAUUUCGACAUGUACAAUGAUUAGUCCAAAUAAUUGUACUCAAGAGUUGAAUAUCGUUAUAUUAUUUUGACUUGUCGAUAUCCGCCUCUAGGUAGACAACGUAAAAUAUCAAAAUGUAAAAUCGGUCUGCCCGAGGUCUCAUUAUUUAGACUAGUACAAUGAUCAGAUGAUAUAGAUAAAAUAGGCAUCGAAAACAACGAUUGUCCACAAAACGCUUGAUUUAGCAAUGGUCUGUGUUGAUGCUAUUUUCUCUGAAAGCAAACUGUCUGUAAUCUGCAGCCAUUCAGCUACUGUUCCAGAAACUUGAAGGCGUAAAAAGUGAGCUGCCAUUACCACAGUACCUCAGAUAUGUAGGAACCAUGACAUUCGGGCAUUUCUGUUCUGUUGAAAUAAUACUUGAGCUGGAACCAUGACAUGAAAGAAGACCUUAGGAAAUAUAUGCAAGUGGAGAUUGAGACAUUAAAUUUGAAAAAUGAAAAGACUUAUGAAGCAAAUAGCAAGUUCUGAAUGCUUCAAACUAACUGUUAGUAGACUUUGGAUGAUUUACUGCAAACGUAGUGCAAAAAAGACUCAGAUACAAAUGUAUCAUAACAAUGCUUACAUGCCAAACUUCCAGGGCAUCUAUACAGGAGAAUUCAGUUGAAAGUCCAGGAGAUUUCAGACUUUACAUUGUACCUAGUUUAAUAGUAUAAUUAAAAAGAUAGUUCUGAAUUAUUUUUGGUAAAUCUGAUUCAUUUUUAAAUCUGCAAGGUAUUGUCAUCAUUUUUUGAUCUUUGUCAGCUUUGGUCUUGGUUAACAUUUUUGCUUAUGUUCCCCUUUUCUUCAAAACUAUAAGAAAUAUAGCUUUGAAACUUAGUUCACCUGUUUAUCAUCAUUAGAUAGCCAAGAGUCAUAAUUCCCACUUCUGUCACUUUUUGGCAGAAUUAUGACCCCUUGUGUACCUAGAAAAUUGGAAUUUCUUGGUUAAAUAUUUGGUUAAAUUAAAUGUUUCAUACUUUAAGAGCUAUAGCUUGAAACUUUAAAUGCUUGUUUAUCAUCAUUAGUUGACUAAAUAGGUCAUGAACCAUAACUAUUGCUUGUAUUCUGUCAGAAUAUGGGCUUUUUAAAUUUGUAUUUCUUGGUCAAUUUUUUGUUUAGCUCAACUAUUUGAAGAAUAGGUAGAGCUAUCCUACUCAUCACGGCGUCAGCGUCGGCGUCACACCUUGGUUGAUUUUUUCGUACCAUUUCACAUAUUGACAAAACUUUUUGAGGUAAUGCUUUAAAACUUUCAACACUUGUGUACCAUCACCGUGUCAAGUUUUAGGCAAGAAUACUUACUCCAUCAAGGAUUUUGGCUGAAUUAUGGUCCCUUUUAAUUUACAAAUCUUGGUUAAGUUUUCCUACCAGUUCAUAUAUUGUGCAGACUGUUUGAUAUGUGGCUUUGGAACGUUUAUACCACUUGUUUAUUUUAUCUGUAGGCCUGGCAAGAGUACAUAACUCUGUCAAGUAUUUUGGCUGAUUUAUGGUCUUUUUGGACUUGAAAAUUGGUUCAGUUUUUGUACAAGUCCAUGUUUUGUCAAAACUU
rnacentral:lncRNA from 1 species